rnacentral:rRNA from 1 species
GACGAACGCUGGCGGCGUGCCUAAUACAUGCAAGUUGAGCGCUGAAGGUUGGUACUUGUACCGACUGGAUGAGCAGCGAACGGGUGAGUAACGCGUGGGGAAUCUGCCUUUGAGCGGGGACAACAUUUGGAAACGAAUGCUAAUACCGCAUAAAAACUUUAAACACAAGUUUUAAGUUUGAAAGAUGCAAUUGCAUCACUCAAAGAUGAUCCCGCGUUGUAUUAGCUAGUUGGUGAGGUAAAGGCUCACCAAGGCGAUGAUACAUAGCCGACCUGAGAGGGUGAUCGGCCACAUUGGGACUGAGACACGGCCCAAACUCCUACGGGAGGCAGCAGUAGGGAAUCUUCGGCAAUGGACGAAAGUCUGACCGAGCAACGCCGCGUGAGUGAAGAAGGGUUUCGGAUCGUAAAACUCUGUUGGUAGAGAAGAACGUUGGUGAGAGUGGAAAGCUCAUCAAGUGACGGUAACUACCCAGAAAGGGACGGCUAACUACGUG